rnacentral:rRNA from 1 species
CGGCGAGUGAAGCGGCAAAAGCUCAAAUUUGAAAUCUGGCUCUUUCAGAGUCUGAGUUGUAAUUUGUAGAGGAUGUUUCGGGCAAGGCUUCGGUUUAAAUUCCUUGGAACAGGAUGUCAGAGAGGGUGAGAGCCCCGUCUUGAACCAACUGCCGCGUCCAUGUGAAACUCCUUCGACGAGUCGAGUUGUUUGGGAAUGCAGCUCAAAAUGGGAGGUAAAUUUCUUCUAAAGCUAAAUAUUGGCCAGAGACCGAUAGCGCACAAGUAGAGUGAUCGAAAGAUGAAAAGCACUUUGAAAAGAGAGUUAAACAGUAUGUGAAAUUGUUGAAAGGGAAGCGCUUGCAACCAGACUUGUUCUUAACGGUUCCACCAUGAUUUUUCAUGGCUUAUUCCGUUCUGACAGGCCAGCAUCAGUUUGGGUGGUUAGUUAAAGGCUUCGGGAAUGUAUCAUCGUCUUCGGAUGUUGACUUAUAGCCCGAGGUGUAAUGUGACCUACCCAGACUGAGGUAUGCUCACGGAUGCUGGCAUAAUGGUUGUAAACGACCCGUCUUGAAACACGGACCAAGGAGUCUAACAUCUAUGCGAGUGUUAGGGUGUCAAACCCUUACGCGUAAUGAAAGUGAACGGAGGUAGGAACCCGUAUGGGUGCACUAUCGACCGAUCCUGAUGUCUUCGGAUGGAUUUGAGUAAGAGCAUAGCUGUUGGGACCCGAAAGAUGGUGAACUAUGCCUAAAUAGGGUGAAGCCAGAGGAAACUCUGGUGGAGGCUCGCAGCGGUUCUGACGUGCAAAUCGAUCGUCAAAUUUGGGUAUAGGGGCGAAAG